rnacentral:rRNA from 1 species
UACGUAGGGGGCAAGCGUUGUCCGGAAUUAUUGGGCGUAAAGAGCUCGUAGGCGGCUUGUCGCGUCGGAUGUGAAAGCCCGGGGCUUAACUCCGGGUCUGCAUUCGAUACGGGCAGGCUAGAGUUCGGUAGGGGAGAUCGGAAUUCCUGGUGUAGCGGUGAAAUGCGUAGAUAUCGGGAGGAACGCCUGAGGCGAAGGCGGGCUACUGGGCCGAUACUGACGCUGAUGCGCGAAAGCCAGGGGAGCGAACGGG